rnacentral:rRNA from 1 species
UACGAGGGGGGCGAGCGUUGUUCGGAAUUAUUGGGCGUAAAGGGAGCGUAGGCGGACAUUUAAGUCAGGGGUGAAAUCCCGGAGCUCAACUCCGGAACUGCCUUUGAUACUGGGUGUCUUGAGUGUGAGAGAGGUAUGUGGAACUCCGAGUGUAGAGGUGAAAUUCGUAGAUAUUCGGAAGAACACCAGUGGCGAAGGCGACAUACUGGCUCAUUACUGACGCUGAGGCUCGAAAGCGUGGGGAGCAAACAGG